AACCAACGCUGGCGGCAUGCCUAACACAUGCAAGUCGAACGAGACCUUCGGGUCUAGUGGCGCACGGGUGCGUAACGCGCGGGAACCUGCCCUUAGGUUCGGAAUCACUCCCCGUGACGGGUGCCAAUACCGGAUAGUGUCUUCGGACCAAAGAUUUAUCGCCUUUGGAUGGGCCCGCGUUGGAUAAGCUAGUUGGUAGGGUACAAGCCUACCAACGCGACGAUCCGUAGCUGGUCUGAGAGGAUGAUCAGCUACACUGGGACUGAGACACGGCCCAGACUCCUACGGGAGGCAGCAGUGGGGAAUAUUGGACCAUGGGCGAAAGCCUGAUCCAGCAAUGCCGCGUGAGUGAUGAAGGCCUUAGGGUUGUAAAGCUCUUUUACCCGGGAUGAUAAUGACAGUACCGGGAGAAUAAGCUCCGGCUAACUCCGUG
rnacentral:rRNA from 1 species